rnacentral:rRNA from 1 species
UACGGGGGGAGCAAGCGUUGUUCGGAUUUACUGGGCGUAAAGGGCGCGUAGGCGGCGCAACAAGUCACUUGUGAAAUCUCCGGGCUUAACUCGGAAAGGUCAAGUGAUACUGUUGUGCUAGAGUGCGGAAGGGGCAACUGGAAUUCUCGGUGUAGCGGUGGAAAUGCGUAGAUAUCGAGAGGAACACCUGCGGCGAAGGCGGGUUGCUGGGCCGACACGUGACGCUGAUGCGCGAAAGCCAGGGGAGGCGAACGGG